rnacentral:lncRNA from 1 species
AAUCAAAGGCAAAUUUUCACUGCCUUCAAUAACUGAAGAAUUUGGAUUUAAAUACGAUCAGUUGGCUAAAAGCAGCAAGGCGAGGUCACAGAGCUUCUGUACCUUCCAAUAUCAAGUGACAGCAGAUUCCCACAUCUUCCAUUAUUUUAGCAAUAAAGCAAAGAUUCCUGUUGACUGUGAUCACUUUAUAAGAAUGCUUUUCAGAGCCGUCAGGAUUGUGCAGAAAGAUCAUGUGCUGGGCUUGCUGUGGAGCAUGAAGAGGAGGAGGGAAAGGACUGGAAGAAGACAAGUGAGAACCUCACAGUUGAAAAAACUGAGUGCUGAUGUGAGAAACUGGAUUCUCUAUCUGUUGCUGCCACAGAAUUCCUAUACAUUGCUAGGAAAGCUGCCUAAACACACUUUUAACAAUAACUGAGAUGCUGAUGUAUCUGAUACUUGAAGUGGCAAGUUGAGUUAAGGGAUCCUCACUUAAAAAUUUGAAGUUGUCAGAAAUACUGAAUUCCUUUGAAAUUCAGUAUGAAGUUUUUUUCACCCGAGGAAAGAAACUCAGUAGACAUUUCUGACUUUUUAAAAUAUCCUUAACUCUCCACCCGUAUUCAGAUACCGCAGAAAGUGCAUACCCUCAAGAAACACACAAAGAAACCAAUGCAUCUAGCUUUAUGGAAGGGUUUGGAAAGUGUCAGAUGGUUAAAAUUUUUAAGAGAGAAAGGACCACAAAAUGAAUGAGGCAUAUCUCCUAAAGAAAGAAAAUAAUUUGAUCACGUAAUAAAACCCCAUGUUGUUAUGCCUACACUUUGAAGUCCAAAUUAAUUUUGCACAGACAACUUUAAUUGUGGCCUUUUCUGAUGUACCAGUUUUGAACUUUGCUUUCCAAAAUUGGCUUCUGUGUGAACAAGUGUAAAAUAGAGUAGGCUGGCCCUACUGUAGUAGCUCUUUUACUUGAGAUACUACAUAGUACUUGAGGUAGUAAAUAAAAACAU